UACGGGGGGGGGCAAGCGUUGUUCGGAAUUACUGGGCGUAAAGGGCGCGUAGGUGGUUUGAUAAGGGUGUGGUGAAAGUCCGGGGCUCAACCCCGGAUCUGCCGUGCCGACUGUCAAACUCGAGGGCUGUAGAGGCAGACGGAAUUCCGGGUGUAGCGGUGGAAUGCGUAGAGAUCCGGAGGAAGACCGGUGGCGAAGGCGGUCUGCUGGGCAGUUUCUGACACUGAUGCGCGACAGCGUGGGGAGCAAACGGG
rnacentral:rRNA from 1 species